rnacentral:rRNA from 1 species
UACAGAGGGGGCAAGCGUUGUUCGGAAUUACUGGGCGUAAAGGGCGCGUAGGCGGCCCACUAAGUCGGACGUGAAAUCCCUCGGCUCAACCGGGGAACUGCGUCCGAUACUGGUGGGCUCGAAUCCGGGAGAGGGAUGUGGAAUUCCAGGUGUAGCGGUGAAAUGCGUAGAUAUGCGGAGGAACACCGAUGGCGAAGGCAAUCCCCUGGACCUGUACUGACGCUCAUGCACGAAAGCGUGGGGAGCAAACAGG